AUUGAACGCUGGCGGCAGGCCUAACACAUGCAAGUCGAGCGGAUGAAGGGAGAUUGCUCCUGGAUUCAGCGGCGGACGGGUGAGUAAUGCCUAGGAAUCUGCCUGGUAGUGGGGGAUAACGUCCGGAAACGGGCGCUAAUACCGCAUACGUCCUGAGGGAGAAAGUGGGGGAUCUUCGGACCUCACGCUAUCAGAUGAGCCUAGGUCGGAUUAGCUAGUUGGUGGGGUAAAGGCCUACCAAGGCGACGAUCCGUAACUGGUCUGAGAGGAUGAUCAGUCACACUGGAACUGAGACACGGUCCAGACUCCUACGGGAGGCAGCAGUGGGGAAUAUUGGACAAUGGGCGAAAGCCUGAUCCAGCCAUGCCGCGUGUGUGAAGAAGGUCUUCGGAUUGUAAAGCACUUUAAGUUGGGAGGAAGGGCAGUAAGUUAAUACCUUGCUGUUUUGACGUUACCAACAGAAUAAGCACCGGCUAAUUUCGUG
rnacentral:rRNA from 1 species